rnacentral:tRNA from 2 species
GGGCCGGUAGCUCAGCGGUAGAGCAUUCGACUUUUAAUCGAAUGGUCGUGAGUUCGAUCCUCACCCGGCCUACCA